CUACCAAGGCAACGAUGCAUAGCCGACCUGAGAGGGUGAUCGGCCACACUGGGACUGAGACACGGCCCAGACUCCUACGGGAGGCAGCAGUAGGGAAUCUUCCGCAAUGGACGAAAGUCUGACGGAGCAACGCCGCGUGUAUGAAGAAGGUUUUCGGAUCGUAAAGUACUGUUGUUAGAGAAGAACAAGGAUAAGAGUAACUGCUUGUCCCUUGACGGUAUCUAACCAGAAAGCCACGGCUAACUACGUGCCAGCAGCCGCGGUAAUACGUAGGUGGCAAGCGUUGUCCGGAUUUAUUGGGCGUAAAGCGCGCGCAGGCGGUCUUUUAAGUCUGAUGUGAAAGCCCCCGGCUUAACCGGGGAGGGUCAUUGGAAACUGGAAGACUGGAGUGCAGAAGAGGAGAGUGGAAUUCCACGUGUAGCGGUGAAAUGCGUAGAUAUGUGGAGGAACACCAGUGGCGAAGGCGACUCUCUGGUCUGUAACUGACGCUGAGGCGCGAAAGC
rnacentral:rRNA from 1 species